CUCACCCUCAGGGGUCUAAUAAUUACACUCGAGAUGUGUCCAGAAUGGCGUGCCAUCGCUGUAACAACCUCGGACACCUUGCCUGUCACUGCCCUUUGGGAUCGGCAGCUAACAAUUGGAGGCGCACCUCACCACCUGCAGAGACCGCUUCACCUUGCACCUCUGCCGCCUCACCUCAUACCUCUGCCGCUUAUUGUCUGGAGACCG